AGCGGGGUAGAGCAGUUUGGUAGCUUGCGUGUUUAACUUGCACGAGGUCGAAGGUUCGAGCCCUUCCCCCGCAAC
rnacentral:tRNA from 1 species